rnacentral:rRNA from 1 species
UACGUAGGGUGCGAGCGUUGUCCGGAAUUAUUGGGCGUAAAGGGCUCGUAGGCGGUUUGUCGCGUCUGCUGUGAAAACUCGGGGCUUAACCCCGGGCCUGCAGUGGGUACGGGCAGACUAGAGUGCGGUAGGGGAGACUGGAAUUCCUGGUGUAGCGGUGAAAUGCGCAGAUAUCAGGAGGAACACCGGUGGCGAAGGCGGGUCUCUGGGCCGUAACUGACGCUGAGGAGCGAAAGCAUGGGGAGCGAACAGG